ensembl:lncRNA
GAUGGAGAUGGCUAUAAUCAGAUGUAGCUAUAUGAAAUAAAAGCAACAUCAGGAAGAAGGAACACAAAAAGUUGGGCUGAACUCUAGAAGAUGUGAAGGGUGAAGGUAACUGUGGUCUCAGUGGUAAUCAGAGCACUCUGUACAGUGACAUCAAAGCUAGGCAAGUGGAUCCAGCAGAUCCCAGGAACAACAUCUGAGAUCUCUGUCCAGAAGAGUGCAAACCUAGGUACAGCAACGAUACUGUGCAGGACCCUCAAGCUCCAAGGCCUCUGGUAGAGGACUCAAGCUUGAAAGGCUAGACCUCCUGCUGGGAUGAAAGGGUUUGUUUUUUUUACCUGAGAUUUUUUUUUUUAACUCAUUAAUUACUGUGUGUGUGUGUUCACCUAUCUGUCUAUGGGACUGCUGUAGCAGGAGGUAGAGCAGAUCAUCUACUAAUGGGAAGGUCAGUGGCUUGAUCCCUGGCUGCUCCAGUCUCUAUGCCAAAUAUCCUUGGCCAAGAUACUAAUCCCAAGUUGCUCUCCAUUCGCAUUAUGAAUGUGUGUGAAUGUUCAAUACAAAGCACUUAAGGAUGAGCAUGUUUAUGUGAACAUGUGAAUGUUUUAAGGGGUUCCAGGAGAGUAGAAAGGCUCUAUACAAGAAUCAGUCCAUUUAACAUUCUGUGUGUUUCAGCUCCUUCAGUUGAUGCCACUGAGCCACCAGGUCAGUGAGUGUAAUAAAGCUGAUUUUAACUUAAAAUCCACUUUGAAGUCUGAAUUAAUCAAAUAAUUACCCAGAUUUUGUUCUCACUCUGUUUCUUUCAUGUAAGGUGGUUCAGACAUCAGCGAUGAAGCUGAUGUUACAGCUGACAGCAAUGAAGAGACUGCAGAGUCUGUGCCCGAAAACAGCGCCGACACCAGCACGGAGUCUGAGCCAGCACCUAAUGGUGACAAAGAAGAUGGGGGGGAGGCAUUGAGUGAUGAAGAGCAGGAAGUGAAGGAGAAGGGAGAUGAAACGAGUGAAAAAGAUACCAGUGAGGAGGAGGAGGGGGGGGAGGUGGUGCCUAUCAUAGAAGAGGACAGCAAAGAGGAAACUCCAGCUGAAGAAGACAGCCAAAUGAAUAACAGUGAGAUUGAAGACAUGGUGGAGAUAGAGGAGAAAGAGGCUGAGGAGGAAGAAACAGAAGAGGAGAAUGAGGAGGAGUUCAAAGAAGUGGAGGAGGAGAAGGAGGAAAAAGAGAACGAUAAUCAGGAUGAGCUAGGGGAGGAUAAGCAGGAUGAGCUAGGGGAGGAGAAAGAGGAGGAGGAUGAGCUAGAGGAGGAUAAGGAGGAGGACGAGCCAGAGGAGGAGGAGCUAGAGAAGGAAAAUGAAGAGAAAGAGCAAGAUGGGGAUAAAGAGGAGGAUGAGGCAGAAGAGGAGAAGGAAGAGUUAGAUAAUGAAAAGGAAGAGAAAGAGGAAGAUACGGAUGAGAAGGAGGAGCAGCGGGAGGAACUGGAGGAAGGAAAUGAGGAGGAGCAAGAGAUAAAGGAGGAGGAAGAGGAGGAGGAGGAUUUCAAGGAUGAAUCUGAAAAUGCAGAUACUGAAGAACCUGAUGAAAUUGAUGAUGGUCUGGACUCCACUGAAGCAACACCUGCUGGUGAACUGGACCAAUCAGAUGAUGCCACCCCCGUCACCAAACAGGCUACCAGUUAGAUGCUUCGCCUCUGAGCUGUGGGAGCUCAGCAACUGCAGAGCCAAGCCCACAGCCUCCACAGUGGAAUCCAGCUGCCAUGACUUCAACAACCUAAACUGCAUGAAUUUCAACGUUCAGCCAACUGUUGUUUCCUCUCCCCAUUUUCUAGCAGUGUCUGUUUUAACCUCUGGCUUCUUUGGUUUUCUCAGAUUAAAAAAGGAAAUGUCUUUCACCUGCUGACUGUCUUCUUUUCUGCCAUGUGUCUCUCUUUCCAGCUUCUUGUCUGCAGAAAUAUUAAAUCAGCUGCUGAGCUCAGAUCUGUUUUGUGUGUCUGAUUUCACACAUUAACAUGUACAUAAGUCCCUCUUUAAUUUACAGAGAAUGUUUUUAAGGACGUGAAAAACCAGUCAGUGGUGUAUACAGAGG